GUAUAUAUAUACAUGGUUUGAGGUAGUUGACGGGUAGAUUAUAGGACAAGUCAAUGUAAGAAGGACUGAUGUUGACUUUGCGGAGGAUCAUUUGACGAGUUUAGAGGACGACAAUAUAGUGUUAUUUUUGAAGAUCGCAGAGACAGUAGAUCUAUAGAAGGGGGGAAUAACUUUAAUUAGAAGAUUUAAUUUUAAAAAAUAACGUGAAGAAUUCAAAGAAAAGAGAAAACAUAUGGCAUCAUGGGAUACAAUUUUGGAAGGGGUAUUAGAAAAAAGGCGUGCACUAGAAAGACCGAGCCUCCAAGCAGCGUUUGAUAGCUUUGAAGAAGCCAAACAAAUUUAUGAUUCGAAAUGGAAGGAAGGAAGAACAUCUGCAAUCGGCGAUCUUAAGAAAAUAGAGAGGAAAAUUUUAUCCGAUGAAGAUACGUACAAAAGAGAACAGGAAUUCACAUUGCAUGAAAGCUUUGUCGGUAAUAUACUGAUGGUAAUAGGAUUUAUUGGGUGUCCCUUUAUGGGCGAAAAGAUGUUAAAUCUGUUAGCAUUAGGAGCAUGCGUGUCGAUCAUAUCGAAAAUAUAUGACGUGAUUUACAUGCAAAAGAAACUUAUAAAUACGUCCUCUAAUUUUAAAAAGGCAAAGCAUAUUCUAGACCAACAUGCUCUUGAUACAAGAAGGUUAAAUACACUCUUACAAACAUUUAAGACAAAUGUAUCAAAAUUGCACACAUAAACUCGGAGAACACUGCGGAUGUUAAAUAUUACCUUAAUGAUGUCGGACUGCCAGCUAACUAUGACGUAGAAGAGGCGGUGAAAAUCCUCGUCAAUGGACCGAAAGUUAACGAAAACUUAUCAACCACGCUAACUGAACUUCCAAUCACUGUAGAUGAGGGUGUGCUUUUGAUAUGGACAUUGGUUCAAUUCAUACCCAUGGUUAUAACUAAAACGAAGUUGUCCAACGAUGAAUUACACGAACAAUCAAGGAUGGUGGAACGAGGGAUCGCUAAAUUGGAUUCCGAAUUAACCGAAUGUCACUUGAUUUUCCGCUAAGAAAAUCAAAACUCAUUUUCCUUUUAAUUCAAUUUGGAGAAAUCGUAUUUAAAAAGACAAGAUUAAACAGGAUUUGCAAGCAUAAAAGUUGGACCGACACUUCCAUCUACAGCGUCGACAGUCAUGAUAAAAUCGAUAGAUGCAUUUGAAGGGUUCAAGAAAUCCACGUCAUCACUUAUAUGUCAUGAAGUACACAUUAUAAUUAAAGAAAAUAUUUAGAUUGGUUUAUUGAAUAUUGACCCAAAUGCCGAGAAUAAUUGAAUGAUGCAUUUGUUGUAAAACUUCAUCUCAUAAACCUCUUGGUAACAGGAUCUGUAGAUAUUCAGACAUACAAUCUUUUGAUAUACUCUUUUUCAUGUGCAUCUCAAUCAAUGAAUCCCAUAUCGUUAUAUAAUGCCUAAAAGAAGGACUAUGUGUCUGCAUUUGGGAGGAAUCUUUAUCGCGCCAUAUCUGUUGUGACAUGGAACUUCCGUUUUUGCGGUCUCAUCUGAAGGACCGCCCCAUUAAGUCACCUGUUACGACAAGUUAGGAGUACAAAGGACUUAUUCUACCCCAUCCCCACACAUAGGGUAUUUGUUUUGUAAUAAAAUUGUUAAGUCUG